UUUCCAGACUUCCUGGAAGCAAGCGACCCGCGGAACAAUGAAGACAUCAGGCCUCUGCUGUGACAAACAGCUUAUGAGUUUCCCUUCCCCAGGAAUCCUUCUGGGAAAUCUGGAAAAGCCUGCGAUGCAAACUGCCAGCUCUCCCGGGGUGAAGCAGCCGUUCAGGAAUUCUUCCAAACAAUGCUCCACCUCUGUUUAGCAGAGUUCACAGAUUCGUCAUGCAAUGCCCGCAGGAAUACAGUGCAUUUUCUGCUCUGCCGCAAAAUCACUUUCUGCUCCACUGGCGUCCUCUUGCCCAUUUGUUGGACCAUGCAGCGCCUCAUGUGAUUUAUCGAGUCUGAUUUCAAGACACAUUAAUUCACCCCCUUCAUUAGCAGUGAGGGUUCCUGAAGCGGGCCUCUCCAACAUUUUCCUGCAGAACAUCUCUGCACAACUCCAGAUGUAACAUCUGCCACUUCAUGCUCUGUUAGUUGACAAAUUUUGUGCAAAAUUGCGGAACGUUAAACCUGCGUGCGAGGAUGCUGCGUCGGGUAAGCCUCCAUCGCAUCCUCGCCCACUGUGACACUUCUAAAAGACGAGAAGACAGGCAGGGAAACGUUUCCUCUUCAAAUGUCGUCUUUGGGAACAAAAUGGGGCGACGUGAGAAAGAAACCGGGAAAAUGAGGAGGAAUUACAACAAGGUAGCCACGCAAGGCAGCGGGACCUGGAAAUGAUGAAACAGAAGCCCACUUUAGAACAGAGAGCCCCAAAAGUCUCACAAGUCCUCCAGUUUAUCAAAGCCAAUCCGGGAGGCAAAGCCGCCCCCUCCCCAGUCAUUUCAUGCCCUCACGCAUCUUUUCAUCUCUGCAGGGAGGUGAAGUUUGAAACCAGAUAAAUAGCUUAGCCCAUUUACUGGCAAGCAGAACACCUUGAUUUCCCUCCGAAUAUUUGUUCAUAGCUGGGUAGCGUUUCAUCCAGAAUUUUUACAUUUGCUUGUUUGCAAUAAAAAAAGGUGGGGGGCAAUGGUUACUAAAUAUAGCUCUAUUGACCCACUUAUUCUAUAGGAGUAUUUGGCAUUGUUGGGAGGGAUUUAUCACAUCACUUAAAACCUUUAAAGAAACAUCCAGUCAUCAUCUUUUCAGCAUAAUCCCGAGGUUAUGACAUCAAGCGCAGGAUUUUUAUUUUUUAUUUAAAUGCUCAGCAGGACUGGAAUCUGGUUUCUCUCUGAUUCCCGUGAAGCCGGUGAAUCACGGCUGUUUCUCAGAGCUCAGGUUCCUUUGAAAGUCUUUUCCGGAGAAGCAGCUUCUCUCAGGCUGCGAUUGUGGACGGGAGCAACGGGAAAAAGUUUGCACUCGACUUGUUUGUCACACCAGUGGCUUCACAGCUGCUGUUAACCAGCCUUCUGUGAGGACUCAAAUAGAAAUCUGCUCAUUUAUCCACAUAUUCCUGUAAUAAAAUCCCUCCAAAAUUCAUCCAAUUUUCUGCCAACAUAAAUAGAAAUCUAUGCGUCUAUUUUUACAGUAAAUAUGUAAACAUGCAUUUGUGGAGAGCACCCUACUGAGAACUUUUCUGCAGGUUCUGUUGCUGUCGACAGCUUUAAAAUACCAUGAGGAUUAUUAUGGUUUGGAGAGAAAGUUUCAAACCAUAUGAACCAACCAGCUUUGUCUUUUUCUCAGCAAUGAAAACACAAUUUAAACUUCGAGAGUUCCAAACCAUCGUCCUUCAGGAUCCAGGGAGGCAGAUGGAAACAAUAAUUUAUAGUUUUCUAAGUAAAUGACAGCACACCUCUAUGAGCAAUGUUCUGAUCACUCACUCUCACCCAAACCAGACAUUCUAAAGUAACAAUUUUUAUGCUAUUUAAGGCAAAAUAAAAAAAAAAAA